GAUGAACGCUGGCGGCGUGCCUAAUACAUGCAAGUCGAGCGAACGGACGAGAAGCUUGCUUCUCUGAUGUUAGCGGCGGACGGGUGAGUAACACGUGGAUAACCUACCUAUAAGACUGGGAUAACUUCGGGAAACCGGAGCUAAUACCGGAUAAUAUUUUGAACCGCAUGGUUCAAAGGUGAAAGACGGUCUUGCUGUCACUUAUAGAUGGAUCCGCGCUGCAUUAGCUAGUUGGUAAGGUAACGGCUUACCAAGGCAACGAUGCAUAGCCGACCUGAGAGGGUGAUCGGCCACACUGGAACUGAGACACGGUCCAGACUCCUGCGGGAGGCAGCAGUAGGGAAUCUUCCGCAAUGGGCGAAAGCCUGACGGAGCAACGCCGCGUGAGUGAUGAAGGUCUUCGGAUCGUAAAACUCUGUUAUUAGGGAAGAACAUAUGUGUAAGUAACUGUGCACAUCUUGACGGUACCUAAUCAGAAAGCCACGGCUAACUACGU
rnacentral:rRNA from 1 species